rnacentral:rRNA from 1 species
UACGUAGGGUGCAAGCGUUAAUCGGAAUUACUGGGCGUAAAGCGUGCGCAGGCGGUUUUGUAAGUUUGUCGUGAAAUCCCCGGGCUCAACCUGGGAAUUGCGAUGAAGACUGCAAGGCUAGAAUCUGGCAGAGGGGGGGUAGAAUUCCACGUGUAGCAGUGAAAUGCGUAGAGAUGUGGAGGAACACCGAUGGCGAAGGCAGCCCCCUGGGUCAAGAUUGACGCUCAUGCACGAA